rnacentral:rRNA from 1 species
GCCUAACACAUGCAAGUCGAGCGAUGAACAUUGAAUGAUCCCUUCGGGGUGAUUUCGAUCGGAUUAGCGGCGAACGGGUGAGUAACGCGUGAGGAACCUGCCUCUUACAACGGGAUAGCCUCGGGAAACCGGGAUUAAUACCGUAUAAGACUCCGACACCUCCUGGUGAUGAAGUCAAAGCGUUAGCGGUAAGAGAUGGCCUCGCGUCUGAUUAGUUAGUUGGCGGGGUAACGGCCCACCAAGACGACGAUCAGUAACCGGCCUGAGAGGGUGAACGGUCACAUUGGAACUGAGACACGGUCCAAACUCCUACGGGAGGCAGCAGUGGGGAAUCUUGCACAAUGGGGGAAACCCUGAUGCAGCGACGCCGCGUGAGCGAUGAAGGUUUUCGAAUCGUAAAGCUCUGUCCUAUGGGAAGAUAAUGACGGUACCAUGGGAGGAAGCCCCGGCUAACUACGUGCCAGCAGCCGCGGUAAUACGUAGGGGGCGAGCGUUGUCCGGAAUUACUGGGCGUAAAGGGUUCGCAGGCGGCAUGGCAAGUCCGAUGUAAAAGGCGAAGGCUCAACCUUCGUAAGCAUCGGAAACUGUCAAGCUUGAGUGAAGGAGAGGCAAGUGGAAUUCCUAGUGUAGCGGUGGAAUGCGUAGAUAUUAGGAGGAAUACCGGUGGCGAAGGCGACUUGCUGGACUUCAACUGA